UACGUAGGGGGCGAGCGUUGUCCGAAGUUACUGGGCGUAAAGAGCGCGUAGGCGGGCUCCUAAGUGAGGGGUGAAAGGUUCGGGCUCAACCCGGAGAGUGCCUUUCAUACUGGGAGCCUUGAGUGCGGGAGAGGCAAGUGGAAUGGUCGGUGUAGCGGUGAAAUGCGUAGAUAUCGAUCGGAACACCCGUGGCGAAGGCGGCUUGCUGGCUCGCAACUGACG
rnacentral:rRNA from 1 species